GCAAGUGGCUGGGACCUACACCCGCGCGCCGCUGGCUGGAAUGCCUGACUCGCCUCUGCCGCGCUGCUGAAGGAGCUUUCUUAUUUAGGUCCAGCAGUUCAGCCCUCAGCGUUCACUCCCUUGGAGUUCAGUUUUGAGCUCCUAUCUCUGAGAGUUUAUAAGAAGAAGAAAACUACCAUUUAGUAAGUG